UGGCUUUAGUCAAGGUAAAUAUUCUUCUGCUCUCUUGAAUCCAGUUUGUAAUCCUUCUUUCACCUUCUCUCCAAACUUGAGCAUUCACAGGGUAAAAGUCCCAUUUUCCCAAUUUCUCGUUUUGCUUUAUGCUUCAAGGUAUACAUGAGCUUGCGCUCCUUAAGCAGGCUAUAAAGGCAGGCAUCUAAUUCCUCCUGGCUUUGUUGCAUGCCCUAUUUAUGAGCCAGCAAAAUAUGUUUGGCCACAUGUUUACACCAGCAAAGAAAUAUGUCUAUGGAAUGGAAAUGUGUCUGCACUAAGUCAGUUGUCAACGUCUAUUUAAACAGACUUAAAUUUGUGCCUGCAUGUUUCUAGCUCUCAAGAUACAAAAACACUUUAUCCCUCAUUGCCACUGUUUUACAAGUUGGAUUUUUUAAAUCAAUGUAAUUCUGUUACCACAUUUGUGCAUAUACUUUAACUAUAUCCCUGUCCACUUAUCCAAAG
rnacentral:lncRNA from 1 species